rnacentral:lncRNA from 1 species
UCUCUCUGUUUAUUAUUAAACUCAGCACCUGCUUCCUGACUCCCAGCGUUUGAAAUAACUAAUUCAACCAACAGUCUGCAAUAUUAAUUUUGGCAGAUGCAGCACUGUUUUCUCAUAGUCUCCUUCGGUACGUAGUGCUGCUACAGAUAUGUGAAUCAUUGGUCAUUGGCCGUCACAUUAUGGGUUUUCUGAAUCAGCUGGGAAUUAACAGGAUCAUCUGUCCUGCGUGUGUGCGGCAGUAUGUGUGUUGGUGAACUGAUGCUCGCAGUCCCACUGGUACUAUAGUCACAGCCAAGCCAACCUUCCCUCCCUUCUCAUUUCAUUGCCAAGACAAGGUCAGAUGUGGCAAGUCUCCAGAUAAGUGAUAAAACCGCAAUCUCUUGUUUUUUCUUUUUUGGACACAUCAACAAAAUCAUGUACUAUAUUUUCUCUUUGCUCAAGGUGUAAACUUGAAUGGUCAACUGAACGGUUAUGGCGUCCAUUAGUAUGACAUCCUGGGGUUAAAUGUUGGCCUGUAAAAGCCAGACGUGGUGUUUAAAAACAACAUCAACAAACAGAACACAAACCUCUCCAAGCUGUGGCAUUGUCCUGGACGGUGACCGUGGCAUGAGAAAGUCCUGUUGGGGAAUUUGGUCGUGCAAUGCUCUCUGUCGAUUGCUUUUGAGUUGAAAGAAAGCCAGGAUUUCCUAAUGCUGAGAAUGGGGAGCUCUCAACAGAUUGAUCUGCAACAGGGGACAGCCCAUUCUUUAGAACAGGCAGCAGACUAGAAAAAUAGAGCUGUGGAGCGGUGUGGGAGAACAGAAAGCCUGAGAAAGCCUCUUCAGCUGGGGUACGAGAGGGAGAGGCACAGACCUGUUGAACACCCACUGACUGACUACAUCCUGUUUGUCUUCCAAUAGCAGCCCAUCAUGGACCCCUUCUACCUAGACAUCCACAUGGUUUCCACAGAGAAGCCUGUAAGACGUGCCAGCAAGAUUGUGUGUGUGUGUGUGUCAAGAACUGCAACAUGGCUGGGUUUUUCACACUCAACAGUGUCCCGUGUUUAUCAAGAAUGGUCUACUAUCCAAAGGACAGCCAGCCAAUGUGACACAACUUUGGGAAGCAUUGGAUUGAGUAAUUUUUUUUU